AUAUUCCUCCAAAGACUAGUGGCUAAGAUUAAAGGUUGGAAAGAUGGCAAACAAA
rnacentral:sRNA from 1 species